ensembl:snoRNA Gm23546 predicted gene, 23546
AACCCGUCAGUGGGCAAAGAGACCCCUUGUUGGUGGUGUUGCUCUUAUGUCAGUCAGGGGCAGAGCGGGUGGCAGUUCAUCCUAGCUUGAUGCCUGGCCAAAGCUGCCUUAUGCCUAGGAUUCAUAA